UACGGAGGGUGCGAGCGUUAAUCGGAAUUACUGGGCGUAAAGGGUGCGUAGGUGGUUGUAUAAGUUAUCUGUGAAAUCCCUGGGCUUAACCUGGGCAGGUCAGAUAAGACUGUAUGACUCGAGUAUGGGAGAGGGUAGUGGAAUUUCCGGUGUAGCGGUGAAAUGCGUAGAGAUCGGAAGGAACACCAGUGGCGAAGGCGGCUACCUGGCCCAAUACUGACACUGAGGCACGAAAGCGUGGGGAGCAAACAGGAUUAGAUACCCU
rnacentral:rRNA from 1 species